rnacentral:rRNA from 1 species
GACUACAGGGGUAUCUAAUCCCGUUUGCUCCCCUGGCUUUCGCGCCUCAGCGUCAGUGUUAGACCAGCAACCCGUCUUCACCUCAGGUGUUCCUCUUGAUAUCUACGCAUUUCACCGCUACACCAAGAAUUCCGAUUGCCCCUUCUACACUCUAGCUCUGCAGUAUCACUUGGCCGUUCUGAGUUAAGCUCAGAGAUUUCACAAGUGACUUACAGAGCCGCCUACGCGCCCUUUACGCCCAGUAAAUCCGAACAACGCUUGGUCCCUACGUAUUACCGCGGCUGCUGGCACGUAGUUAGCCGGACCUUAUAAAUAGUACCGUCAUUUAUUCUUCCUAUUCUUUCGAAGUUUACAUACCGAAAUACUUCAUCCUUCACGCGGCGUUGCUGGGUCAGGCUUUCGCCCAUUGCCCAAAAUUCCCCACUGCAGCCCCCCGUAGG